rnacentral:tRNA from 1 species
GCGGAAGUGGCGGAAUUGGCAGACGCGUUAGGUUGAGGGCCUAAUGAAGGUAACUUCGUGCAGGUUCAAGUCCUGUCUUCCGCA